GUAACCAAGCCCAGAGCCAGAACAGAAGCAGGAGUAACCUGAGGCAGCAGCCACAGAAGGGGACUACACCCCCACCCCUAGCCUGGCCUGGGCCUAUCACUGGAGCUUCAGGGAGUCCCAGGUUUUGGAGAGGCCUCAUCCCCGCCUUGUAUCUGACAACUCUGUUGAGGAGCACCUCUACUAAUGAGCAUUGAUCACCCAUGCAACUUUUCCAGCGCCGACUAUCGAUGCAUCCCCCGGUGUGGAGUCAGACCCAGGACUGAAUGCCCUGCAAAUGGGCACCAAGUCUUUGCUGACUGAUAGAAGAAGGCUCGUCUCUCCUUGGAGAAGCCAUCCAGUCUAUCUUUAAUGGGCCUCUCCCCUCCUCCUGGGUCCCCAGAUGUGGUCAGCCUGCAGGCCCCAGUGAUCAUCAUUCCAGUGUUGCUGUCCUCCUCCACACUGCUUGUGAUUGGCUGCAUAGUGUGGAAGACAUGCCGCAGGUGGAGGGCUACUGGCCAGUGCUCCCCAUCCCAGUGACAGGUUGCUGAAAGAAAAGACUUUGAGAUGUCUGCCAUCUUCUCUCUCAAAGCCCGAAGAGACUGAAUACACGGGAGUUAGAAGAAAGCUAGCCUCUCCAUUCUUCCCUCCCUCUCUGCUGCCCCUCAUGUGGGGGCAGGCCACUGAUCUCCACCAACGAAGAGACAGUUCCAUGCCAGGCGGAUUGGGACUCGGUGCCCGAGAUGAGAGCUCGGUGCUUCCUUGGGACCAUCUGCCUGCUUCAUGCUUAGCUUGGGCCUGUCUACCACCCAUCACUACAUCAGGGGAGCAGGAACCAUAGCAGCAGUACCUCCUUCUACUGGGACUAACAUCCCAAAUAUGAACCAGCAGGUAGGGACACAGUCCUGAAGAGUCAGCAGCUGCCACCAUCUUCAUUUUCUGCCUGGGGUGGGCAAGGCAAGAAGUGGUAAACAGCAGCCUAAAGGACUGUUUUCCAUUCAUUCAUUCAUUCAUUCGACAAAUAUUCACUGAACAAGAUGGUCCAUGGACAUAUAUAUACAUAUAUAUAUAUGUAUAUAUGUAUAUACACAUAGCAGGCUUUCAACAAAUAUUUGUUGAGUUAAUGAAGGAUGCUAAACCAGCUUCUGAGUCUUUUCUAUUACCAUCCAACACUCACAUACUUCUCCAUCCUCUCUGCAAUUUUCCCCGAGAGUGAUGAGGGUCUCAAGCCAAGGACACGUACCUUAUAGCCAAAAGGUGCUCUAUAAAUGAAUUCAUUUUCUCAGCAAAAAUGAAUUUAGUGCCAACCAUGUAGGAAAGGCCAUGUGGCAUAGCAUAAGGUACCCUGGUCUUGAAGUCUCGAUGUUUCCAAUCCCCAUUAAUCAUUUCUAUUCUGUGUUUCCUAGUUGGAAGAGUUGAGUAGUUCUGAUUCUACCCAGGCACAUGGAGGUCCUAUCCUUUCCUUGGUCGUCUCUUGUUUCCAACACAGCCCCUUUUGAUUACUCUUGCCAGCUAAUUAUUGGAUUCAGCAUUUUGUCAGGAAGGUGUCACUCGUGUGUUUUCAACCUGUUGUUGGUCUUUGCUUUCCUUUUAUAUACACCUUAUUUGUAAAUUUAAAUUGAUCAAUAAAUUUCUA